GACGAACGCUGGCGGCGUGCUUAACACAUGCAAGUCGAACGGAAAGGCCCUGCUUUUGUGGGGUGCUCGAGUGGCGAACGGGUGAGUAACACGUGAGUAACCUGCCCUUGACUUUGGGAUAACUUCAGGAAACUGGGGCUAAUACCGGAUAGGAGCUCCUGCUGCAUGGUGGGGGUUGGAAAGUUUCGGCGGUUGGGGAUGGACUCGCGGCUUAUCAGCUUGUUGGUGGGGUAGUGGCUUACCAAGGCUUUGACGGGUAGCCGGCCUGAGAGGGUGACCGGCCACAUUGGGACUGAGAUACGGCCCAGACUCCACGGGAGGCAGCAGUGGGGAAUAUUGCACAGUGGGCGGAAGCCUGAUGCAGCAACGCCGCGUGCGGGAUGACGGCCUUCGGGUUGUAAACCGCUUUCGCCUGUGACGAAGCGUGAGUGACGGUAAUGGGUAAAGAAGCACCGGCUAACUACGUG
rnacentral:rRNA from 1 species